rnacentral:rRNA from 1 species
AUUGAACGCUGGCGGCAGGCCUAACACAUGCAAGUCGAACGAGUGGCGGACGUGUGAGUAAUGUCUGGGAAACUGCCUUAUGGAUGGGGAUAACUACUGGAAACGGUAGCUAAUCCCGCAUACCAUCAGAUGUUCCCAGAUGGGAUUAGCUAGUUGGUGGGGUAACGGCUCACCAAGGCGACGAUCCCUAGCUGGUCUGAGAGGAUGACCAGCCACACUGGAACUGAGAAACGGUCCAGACUACUACGGUAGGCAGCAGUGGGGAAUAUUGCACAAUGGGCGGAAGCCUGAUGCAGCCAUGCCGAGUGUAUGAAGAAGGCCUUCGGGUUGGAAAGUACUGGCAGCGGGGAGGCGUUACCCGCAGAAGAAGCACCGGCUAACUCCGUGCCAGCAGCCGCGGUAAUAC